rnacentral:rRNA from 1 species
AUUGAACGCUGGCGGAAUGCCUUACACAUGCAAGUCGAACGGUAACGGGCCUUCGGGUGCCGACGAGUGGCGAACGGGUGAGUAAUGCAUCGGAACGUACCUUUCAGUGGGGGAUAACGUAGCGAAAGUUACGCUAAUACCGCAUAUUCUGUGAGCAGGAAAGCAGGGGAUCGCAAGACCUUGCGCUGAUUGAGCGGCCGAUAUCAGAUUAGCUAGUUGGUGAGGUAAAGGCUCACCAAGGCGACGAUCUGUAGCGGGUCUGAGAGGAUGAUCCGCCACACUGGAACUGAGACACGGUCCAGACUCCUACGGGAGGCAGCAGUGGGGAAUUUUGGACAAUGGGCGCAAGCCUGAUCCAGCCAUGCCGCGUGAGUGAAGAAGGCCUGGUGUAAGNUCUUCGUCGGAGAAUACGCACAGUAUACCUCGU